UUUUGUUUUGUUCAGAUAGAUCUUUAUUCAUCCUCGAUAGAAGCUCAUUGAUUUAGACACUUUGACAACAUCCAUAUUUUCAGAGUUAAAACCUAAAAAUAAACAAGGAUCAAUCUGUAAUAAGAGAAACUAGUUUAAAGGCACAAUAAUCAAAGUAGUAACGUCAAAAAUCAAUGAUUUUUAUAUCGAUUGUUUGGUCGAUUUGUGUUGGAGAGACAAUGUAUGAAACAGACACAGAAACGUGUAAACGUUUUAUUUGAUAAAAGUUAGGACUUCAGUUUAGCAGGCUUCAGAAAGAUCGAAUGUGAUUAAUGAUUUAUAAAUAAACAACAACAACACGCCAACGUUCUGAUUAACGCCCUCAUUGUUUGUUCUUAAAAGAGACAAUACGUUUCUAUUGAGAGACAGACAGAAAGACAGAAUGAGAGAGACAGAGACAAAGAAAGAGCAAGACAGCUUGUCAGACCACCAGGUUGGUACACGUCAUCUCGUCAGUAUUCAACACUUCUGUUUAGAAAGUAAAAUCGAAACAUCAACUAAGGUUUAGAAGAAAUAAAUAUGGGUUUUAGUUUAAAAGAAGAAACACGGGGAUGCUGCAAUGCCUUAAAGGGUUCGGAACACGACAGACGGGCGGUUCUGAUUGGCCGGCUGCUCAGGUGAGAGACAGCAUGCGUUGUUUCAGAGGUCCUGAGCCCUCUAAACUUGAGCUUGUUCUCUGAAGUCCAAACAUCAAGAACCUGAGGAUCCUGUAGGUAGGAGAACCGGGUAGAACCCAGAACCUGCAGCUGGUGGUGCGGUCUAUAGAUUAGCUCGAGUCUGGAUCUUGUAGGUGAGCCCUGAUGGUGGGUAAGAUAACAAGGCACUGUUGGGUUAUCUGGUUCUGGGAGUAGAUCGGCCUGCAGGCUGGAGGUCAAGCAACGUCAGCGAGCAACGGCAGUAGAAGGAGGAGGGGAGCAGACAGCUGUUUCUAUGGCAACGAGAAGAAAGAGACGGAUUAAAUGUGAGACAAAAACAUAAGGUUUGAACCUUCUUAAUACUAAAAACAUCAUUACCUGAGGAUUCACCUGUUAGGCCUCGCUGGCGCUGCUGUUCCUGUUGAGCUCUCUGAUGCCGUGAAGGAUUCUCUUUAUGUGACCGACCUUUGUCACCCCAAGGUCCUGUGACCAUAACACAGUUAAAAGUACACAUAUCAGUAAUCUGACCGGUAAGAAUAUCAGUCGGUAAAUGAAGAUAAAAGCAGUUUAUAAAUCUGACAAUGAUAUGAGCGUAUUGAUACUAAAUAUCUAAACAGGAUUAUCCAAAGGUAACAACAACCCAAUGAAGGUUAGCGGCUAGCAGGUAGCAGCAGUACCUUCAGGUCCCUCCUCUCCAGGUGGAUCAGUUCGGCCCCACGGACAUCGUGCCCCAUGAAGAUGUCUUGAUACUCGUUGAGAGAGAGAAAGCCCAGCCACGCCCCCACCUCCUCCGUCCCCCACUGGUGGACUGAGAGACCAACAGGAAGUGGGUCAGGUAAACAGGAAGUGGGUCCGGUAGACAUAGGGUAUGUCUCAAUUCCUCGGCUGUCCCGUUCCAUCGGCUCCGGAGCCGGUUUGGAGGACACAUCUGGUCUCUCCUUUGCAGCCCAGCAUAUCCCAGCAUGCAGUGUGGUCCGACGAGGAUUUCAUUUAUUCAGGCGGGUGAUCCAGCAGCACAGAGUUCACUUUUAAAUGUUACGUAACCAGUGUCGAGUUUUAAAUACACAUAAGACGCAAGAACAAAGUGGUCUUAGUUAUAACGUAACUCCGUCCUGCCCUCCCCUCCCCUCCCCCUCCCCCGGCUGCCUCCCUCACCCGAACCCCCCCUGGGUCCAUGUACUGCUUCUCAUCAAUGUGCCAACACACAUUUAUAACAAACACACAACGAGCAGCUCGUCUGUGGUUAUUAGUGAAAAGUCACUUUAAUGACUUUCACACUUUAGAGGCUGUGUAAUAUCUUACUGAGGCCGUGACGCUUUAUACUUCAUAUCAUGAACAGAAAUGGAUCUCAGGUUCUUGAUGUUUGGAAACAACGCCUGCUUGUUGAAGACCACCAGUCAGUGAUCCACCCGUCUCUCACCUGAUCAGCCGGCCAAUCACAACCGCCCUUCUGUCAUGCUCCUGGUGGACAUGUUGGACCUCAUCUGCAUCUUAAAACUAAAGUAGCUUGUAUAUGCAAGAAGAUUAUAAAGAGUCUGUGCAUAAAAGUUAAUAAAUGUGUUUUUAUUGGCUGUAUUGAUAGAUUUACGGAGGAAGUCCCCCAUAGGACAGACGGUCUCCUUUCAGAGACCGCUUGGUUCAGACCAUGCGGUUGUUGGAGACCCCGGCCCACAUAGACCAGAACUUCGGGUCCUACGGAGGAUGCAGCCCACCAAAUGAGACACAGCCACAGAUAUUGGUCCAAACUGACAGGAAGAGGUUCAGAAAGACAGGAGUGCAGACAGAAGAACAGGUAGAAAGAGCUCACCUGGCAGAGACAAAGUUGUGCAUGUCUCCUUGUUCUUAUUGUUUUUGUCUUUUUUGAACUUGGGGACGAGGCGAAACUUUGUGCUCCGGCUCCGUUUGGAGAAAUCUGGACCCUGAACACACACAGACAGGUCGGUAGACAGACAGAAAGACAGACAGACACACACAGGAUGCAGCAUCUGGUGCGAUGGCGGUUUACCUCGUAGUCCGACGGUUCAAUGACAGGGAGACAGCCAGGAAACAUCGGCCAGCCGACGGAGCUGCUGAGCAACGGAGCUCAGAGCUGCUUUCAACUGCUCCUGCUGAGGAGGAUCCAGCUGC
ensembl:lncRNA